rnacentral:rRNA from 1 species
GACGAACGCUGGCGGCGUGCUUAACACAUGCAAGUCGAACGGAAAGGCCCUGCUUUUGUGGGGUGCUCGAGUGGCGAACGGGUGAGUAACACGUGAGUAACCUGCCCUUGACUUUGGGAUAACUUCAGGAAACUGGGGCUAAUACCAGAUAGGAGCUCCUGCUGCAUGGUGGGGGUUGGAAAGUUUCGGCGGUUGGGGAUGGACUCGCGGCUUAUCAGCUUGUUGGUGGGGUAGUGGCUUACCAAGGCUUUGACGGGUAGCCGGCCUGAGAGGGUGACCGGCCACAUUGGGACUGAGAUACGGCCCAGACUCCUACGGGAGGCAGCAGUGGGGAAUAUUGCACAAAGGGCGGAAGCCUGAUGCAGCAACGCCGCGUGCGGGAUGACGGCCUUCGGGUUGUAAACCGCUUUCGCCUGUGACGAAGCGUGAGUGACGGUAAUGGGUAAAGAAGCACCGGCUAACUACGUG